GUUGAAAGACCGGGUCUCGUACGAUCACCGACGUUAAGCAACGUCGGGCCUGAUCAGUAGCUAGAUGCGUAACAGCUUGAGAAUUUCAGGUGCUGUAA